rnacentral:lncRNA from 1 species
CCUCUCUCUAAAGAUAUGUUCUUUGUUCAUUGUAUAAUGAGGGGGUUGUUGUUCCUUGUAAUGGGUGCCUGAGAGAGAGAGAGAGAGAGAGCUAGGAGGGUAAAGCUUGAAUCUUUUUGUGUUUUGAGCGAUGAAGGAGAAAGAGAGAAAGGUAUAGUGAAGUUGGUUUCUCUUGUUUUUGAAGCUUUGAGUUGUUGAGGUUGGGAG